UACGUAGGGUGCAAGCGUUGUCCGGAAUUAUUGGGCGUAAAGAGCUCGUAGGCGGUUUGUCGCGUCUGCUGUGAAAACUCGGGGCUUAACCCCGGGCCUGCAGUGGGUACGGGCAGACUAGAGGUAGGUAGGGGAGAAUGGAAUUCCCGGUGUAGCGGUGAAAUGCGCAGAUAUCAGGAGGAACACCGAUGGCGAAGGCAGAUCUCUGGGCCGUAACUGACGCUGAGGAGCGAAAGCGUGGGGAGCGAACAGG
rnacentral:rRNA from 1 species